rnacentral:rRNA from 1 species
GACUAUGGCCCUGCCACCCUGAACAAGCCCGAUCCCGUCUGAUCUCAGAAGCUAAGCAGGGUCGGGCCUGGUUAGUACUUGGAUGGGAGACCACCUAGGAAGACUGGGUGCUGUAGGCA